CAUCCCCGAGAGCGAGAGCGGCACCGCGCAGCUUUUCGUCAGCGCCUUCUGCCGCGAAGUUGUUGCAGCUUUCGUUUUCGCAGGCGCACACCCACGCCUGGGCUCCGGCCCGGGGCUUGGUCGGGCUGGGCUGUCCUGGGUUUGCUGGGCGGGCGCAGUACAGACUUCACCAGCGCCAGCCGCCCCCGCGUGCCACUACCUAGGCCGGUCUGGCCUCCCACCUGAGGUUCGGUAGAAAGCCAGCCCAGUCCCGGCACGGGGGGCACCGCACCCACCGUCGGCGACUUCCUCUGUAGAGGCGCUGGGGAAACCGCGGCCCUCGGGCUUCCUGCUGCGCCCGGGGCGGGGGCAGCUGCCCGAGCCCACCCGGGGGGAACUUAGUGCAGAAAAGCAGAGAGCCAGGCAGGCAGAGUGCCUUGUGGAGGGAAGAAUCAUGAGUUGUAGGAGGGCCACACUAGAGCUGUCAGUCGGGACUAGAACGAAGACUUCUGGAGUAACAUUCUCAAAGAAAACACAACAAAGAAGCAUGGGCUCCAGUGAGUGCUCCGGAGGGAAGCCAUCUAUUUCCUCACAAGGUGUGCAGCGAGGCCAGGUAAAUGAAGACCCUCCCAACCUCUGCAUUUAAAGAACAGGUAUCCACUCCUGUGAGCAGCUUUGCAGAGUCCAGGGAAAGGUAGUAAGUGUUCUACAGAGGAAGGCUCAGAAGGCAAACAGUGCUCUGGGCACAGAACGGCAUCCACAGCAUUGUUCUACCUAGGGCAUCUUCCACCUCAGGAGGCGCACUCUACAGGAGCCAGCUACCCUCCCGUUCCUGACUGCUCUUCCUGCCCAGGUGGACGAGAACACUGAGGAAGGGACAGAAGAAGCUGCCUCCACACAUUUCCUGUCCCACGCCAGGGCUCUGAGCCCUCCCCACACUCCUGAAGGCCUCAUCCAUCCAGUCAGUCACGACACUUAGCCUACUCCUUGAGCUGCCUUCGUGUCCUUUGCCUUUCUCUAGCUUCAACCCACCAGCAUCCCAAACAAGCAUGGGUCCAGCCCUCUUCCUCUCAACCUAGAGAAUAAACCAGUUUUCUACCCUUGCAAGAUGACUUUCCUGCUCAGCUAUGGGCUUACUGCUGGGGACAUGGAAGAAACGACCUGGGCUCCCAGAAGUUCACUUGCAGGCACGCACGCACACGCACGCACACACACACACACCCCUUCUUCAGACUCUGAGAAGGACAGAGGCUUCAAAUGCAUGCUUCCCACGACAGCAUCUCAACUUACUAUAUCCUCCCCGCAUCCCCACUGCGACUGCUCUUUGACAGACAACACAGUGGGCACAGGGUCAGGGAGUUAGAGCACUGGUAACCCUGGGACCUAGCACACAGACCUGGCCAGCCCAAUUCAGAUCAUUCCUUGAAGUUGUCUCCAAUUACUGCAGCAGACAUCAUAGCCAGGUGCCAAAAUGCUACUUGUAUCUCAUAUAAUCAUGACGUCACUUCAUACCUUUGCCACUUCCUGAAAGAUCAAGUCAGACCAAAGGAGGAUGAGAACAUGCGCUCAUCACCUUCAACCGGGCCAGGAAGAAGCUGUGUUACCAGUGUUGUGCACCACUGUCUGGAAGGCAGUAUCCAGGAGGCCUGCAGGCUCACCAGCAACACCUACUCUCCAGAGCAUGCCUACCCUGCCUCAGACUGGGCUCCUGGGGAAGGCCCGGUACCGACUGUCACAGCACCAGAGAAGCCUACCUACCAUACAUAAGAACUUGCAGAGUCAGGGUAUAGGGUAUGAGUUGCUAAGUCCUGAACAAGCAAAUUUUCAAGAAGGACGUCCCUGGGAGAGCAUCUAUUCCCAGCUGGGCUCUAGAGGUCUCGGCAUACACACCCAACCUUGUUAGGUAGGGUCUCACUAUAGUCCAGGCUGGCCCUGGACUCACGGCGACCUGUCUGCUUCAGCCCCUGACUGACUGCUGGGAUUAUAGACGUGAGCUGCUACCUAUCUUGCACUGGCCUCUUAAACCGUUUUUACACCAUGUGAUGUCCUGCACUCCAACCCCUGGCUCGUACCAACCAACUCUCUCCAGAGGCAUCGUCAACUCUAGCUGACCAGCAACAGCAAAGACCCAGCGCGACAUUUCUCACAGGGUGAGAAUCACCCUUGUUCCCUCACCAGAUGGAUGCUUCUGAGUACAUGCUGGAGCGUCAACCCCACUGACAGAGGUUGGCGGGCCUUGAGAAUGCUCUGGGCUUCAGAGCUUUGAGCUUCCUGGUACCUGUUAAUAGCCUAAGCAGUAGAAGCCUGUGGGUCCCAGUCGCUCAUAAAGCACAUGAAUGUUGAAAAGUGUGGACCUCUAUCACUACUCUGGAGACAGAGCCACUCAUCCACCUCAGGGCAUCCUGAACGCCUGGAGUUGGGGCUCUGGCGGCUCUCUGGCAGCCAUCUUGACCCAUCUCUACAGGUCUCCUGGGGAGUGCAGACUUAGCCUCUAGCACACCUGGCUGAUGGCCCAGGUAGACAUUCCUGGCUCAAGUGGGGGUGGGCCUGCGGUCUUGUGAAGCUGGGCUGUGCCUGAGGCACCCAGGGGACCAUGUGGCUCCAGUGGUCUCUCACAGCUCUUCCUCUCAGGGGCUGAGCCCUUGUAGACUUUCAAGUCUUUGUUGGUUCCUUCUUGCCAAGGCUCUUACUUCAGUUCCAAAGUGGAAACUCUGUCUCCCCCUGAGCUGGACUGGAACAAGAAUGCCCCGUAAGAGUCCUGACUUCCAACCUUGUGACCACUCACCUGCCUCACUAUUGUGGGCAGUGGCUCUGUGUAACACUGCAUCUGGCAACUUUCCUACUACACACGUGGCAGCCAGUUUUCUUCAAGGUCCAGACAAAGUGAAGUAGGCCUCCCUUCACCAGGUAGAGCCCCUAGGUUCCCCCA
rnacentral:sRNA from 1 species